rnacentral:rRNA from 1 species
AAACUAACAAGGAUUCCCCUAGUAACUGCGAGUGAAGCGGGAAAAGCUCAAAUUUAAAAUCUGGCGCAAGCCCGAGUUGUAAUCUGGAGAAGCAUUUUCUGUGUCGGACCGUGUACAAGUCUCUUGGAACAGAGCGUCAUAGAGGGUGAGAAUCCCGUCCAUGACACGGACUACCGAUGCUUUGUGAUAUGCUCUCGAAGAGUCGAGUUGUUUGGGAAUGCAGCUCAAAAUGGGUGGUAAAUUCCAUCUAAAGCUAAAUAUUGGCGAGAGACCGAUAGCGAACAAGUACCGUGAGGGAAAGAUGAAAAGCACUUUGGAAAGAGAGUUAAACAGUACGUGAAAUUGUUGAAAGGGAAACGCUUGAAGUCAGUCGCGUUGUCUGGAACUCAGCCUUGCUUGCAUGGUGUACUUUCCAGUUAACGGGUCAACAUCAAUUUUGGUUGGUGGAUAAAGGUAGAGGGAAUGUGGCAUCUUCGGAUGUGUUAUAGCCCUUUGCUGCAUACACUGACUGGGAUUGAGGUCUGCAGCACGCCGUCAUGGCCGGGGGUUCGCCCUACGUAACGUGCUUAGGAUGUUGGCAUAAUGGCUUUAAUCGACCCGCUC